rnacentral:ncRNA from 1 species
ACAAAACCGAUGAUUAAGAAGAGUAGCCUUUUAGUUCGCUUUUAGAGAGUUGCAGGUGGUGGGAUUGCGACAGGAGAGCAUUUGGUGAAUGGACUUAUGAGGGCGGGCGAAAGCUUAGGCAAGUAGUACCCGACGGGAACCGUACCCGUUAUCCAGACGGGCUGUAUUUUUGUACAGUGAACGAGUGGACGAUUUACUUCGUCAAUUUGGGUGGUAUCGCAGGAUUCUCAAGUCUUGUCCCAUGA